rnacentral:rRNA from 1 species
AACGCGAAGAACCUUACCUGGGCUCGAAAUGUAGUGGAAUAGGGUGGAAACAUCCUAGGCUCGCAAGAGACUGCUAUAUAGGUGCUGCAUGGCUGUCGUCAGCUCGUGUCGUGAGAUGUUGGGUUAAGUCCCGCAACGAGCGCAACCCUCGCCCUUAGUUGCCAUCAUUCAGUUGGGCACUCUAAGGGGACUGCCGGUGAUAAGCCGCGAGGAAGGUGGGGAUGACGUCAAGUCCUCAUGGCCCUUACGGGCUGGGCUACACACGUGCUACAAUGGCGGUGACAGUGGGACGCAAUGGAGCAAUCCUGCGCAAAUCUCAAAAAGCCGUCUCAGUUCGGAUUGUGCUCUGCAACUCGAGCACAUGAAGUUGGAAUCGCUAGUAAUCGCAGAUCAGCACGCUGCGGUGAAUACGUUCCCGGGCCUUGUACACACCGCAUAC